AUCAGUGAAAGCUUGCUGCUUCACAUGGCCCUUCUCUCCAUUGGAGUUCUGCAGAUCCAGUUGUGCUGAGCUUCGAAAUUAAAGGAGAGGAUGUUUGACAGAGCCAGAUACGCUCAAGAACAGUCUCAUUCCUGAGAGUGACCCUCAUGUCCCAGAGAGAUCCUGUGGCAUUGGUGUCUGCACUGAGGACAAGUGGUGCAAGAUCUGCAUUGCUAUACUCCUUUUGCUGCCAGAUACAGGAAGAUCAAUCCAGACCACAUGAUUGCUGGCUACAUGGCUUUUACCCAUUGGCAACCAUCUCCUCGUGGUGACAUCAGCUGAGGUGGGAAGACUAUAAUUUUGCAUCACAGUAGUCGUUUAAGUAAAAAUGAACGUUAACAUUUCUCUGGUAUGCACCUGCCCUGCUCUACAUGUUUGUUUACCAUCCUGGAUUCCUGCUGACUAGUGUCCUACUGGGGUCAUUACCAUACAGACUUAGGGGUAAGCACCCACAUCCCAUUUUUAAGAUAUUCCUUUGCAAUGGCCUUCACACUACAGUCCUGAAUAAGGAGCAACAGGACAAAACCCUGAAUCUUUGCAGCUUCAUUUCAUUGACAGCAGUAAGAUAUGCACCACAACUGGGCAGCAUCUGGGGAAAAGGGCAGUUAGGUGAAAUGGGAGAUUUCCACGUUGAUAACUACAAGGUGUAUAGUUGACAGAUGGCAUUUUUCUUCUUCAAACUUACCUUUACUCUGCAUAUGUAACUUUCAGGCUCAGCCUGACACUGCACACAUUUAGUUAUGUGCUUCACUCAAGGCACAAGUGUU